rnacentral:lncRNA from 1 species
AAACUCUACUCUGACUCCUACUGGCAGUUUGCAGUGACGGACGGUGGCUGACCCAGCUGGGGCACAAUUGCAAGAACCUGAUGCAAAAGGGGUAGACAUUGGAAAUUGGAAGAGAUCUGCGUGAAACAACAGUCAGAGAAAAGAGUUUAAGAGAAAAUCAAGACUGGUGUAAAGGUGCUCUUUACUGAAAUAGACAAAAAAGAAAGCCAUAAAGGGAGAGCUGGAACCAACAAUGGAAAACUCUGAAUGAAUGCGUUGACUUGCAUGAGGACCUGCAGCGUAAAGGAAUCCUGA